rnacentral:lncRNA from 9 species
GCGCUAAGCUGUGUCAAGAUGGUGGCGCCCCGGGCCGGCCUUGUGGGACUUGUAGUUUCGAGGUUGCACGUACUUAGAAGAAAGUGAAGGGGGCCUCGCUUCCCAGCUGUGAAAGAAAUUUUUUUGAAAAAACCCGACACUUCCUAAAGGCCUAGACGACCCAAGGCCCCCACUUCUGUUUUUCCACCUUCCACUGUUCUCACGAGGCCAGAGGGACUGAUUGUUGCUUGCUGAGGUGCUUUGCACUGUUCUGCCUCCAAGACUUUGCUGGUGGUGUUCUCUCAGCUGGAUCCCCAUCCCUACCCUGGACUCCUGGAGAGAUGCACUGUCUCAGAAUGCACUUCCUCAUCCUCAAGUGGCUGUUGCUUCCCCCUCCCUGAGUCCUCAAACCCUGUCUCCCGGUCCUGCCCUGAACAGCACUCACCAACCCACAGGCGGGGCUUACUCGGCACUCCUGACCACAGCCCCCAGGACCUGAGGGUGCAGUAGGGCUUUUGGCAGGGCAUCCAAGGCCUUCGGGGGAUGUCCUCCAGGAACCCCAGCUGAACUAAGAUCGUGAGUGUAUACUUUUUCAAGAUGCCACAAACAUUCUUUGAAUACGUGAUUUGGGCUAAGCUCCCUGAAGACAUGGGACAGGAACAUGAGCAACAGACACAGCUCCUGCCCUCACAGGGCUUACACUUUAAUGAAGGGGACACAGGUAAGGACACAAGUGUCUCUCAGGAUGAUAACUGUGGUCAUAGAGCCCAGCUGCAAUGAAGGUCUGAGGAUGAUGGGCAGUCACAGCUGGAAAAGGUUCCCGGAGCAGGUAAUAUUUAAGUCUUAGAGGCUGAGUAGGAACUUCCCAGGCCAAAGAGAGGAGGAAGCAAAGAGUGAAGAGGAGAGGGGCAUCCAGGCAAAGGGAAUAGAAUAUGCGCAAAGACACAAGGCAAAGAAGAGGCCCACAGGUGGGGGGGCGAAACUCAGUACUGCAGGAGCAGGAAGCAUGGCGAAGAGUGUGAAACAAGACUUUGGAGAAGGAGGCAAGAGUUAAGGUCAUGUAUGGUCUUAUAAGCAAGCCUUCUCAAAACAUUUGGACUUGAUCUUGAAGGCGGAGCGCCACGGAAGGGUUUAGAGCGGGGCAGUGACUAGGGCAGUUCUGAGUUACAGCAGUGCUAAGUCAAACUUGUCACGUGCUGGCAGUCCAAUCACCUGGGGGUCUUGUUAAAAUGCAAAUUGUGACUCUGGUUCUGGGAAAGGCCUCAGAUUCUGCAUUUCUAACAGGUUCCCCGCUGAUGCCGCUUCUGCUGGUCCUCGGACCACACAAGAAGUAGCCAGGUCUUAGUGUAAUCUUUCUGGUCUAGCCGCCCUCCUUCCCCAAUGCGUCCACUCACAGAGCAUUCUUCUAGUCACGGAAAAUGGUUUAAGGCUGCUGUGACUCCUCACUUUUAUUUAGUGUGUGUGGGUAUAUAUAUUUAUAUUUUAAUUAAUUAAUUUAUCUAUUUAUUUAUUUAUUUAGGGCCACAGGUGCAGCACAUGGAAGUUCCCAGGCUAGGGGUCCAAUUGGAGCUACAGCUGCCGAACUACGCCACAGCCACAGCAGCAUCAGAUCUGAGCUGCGUCUGCAACCUAUACCACAGCUCACGGCAGCAUUGGAUCCUUAACUCACAGAGCAGGGCCAGGGAUCGAACCUGCAACCUCAUGGACACUAGCUGGGUUUGUUACCACUGACUCACAGCAGGAACUCCAGCAUCUAUAUUUUAGAAGCUAUUCAUUAAAUAUGUGUUCCACACUUAGCCAAAGAUCAAGUGCAGGGGGCACGGGGCUGGAGGAAGACAAAAAGCAAGGCAUUUUUCUGCCCAAGAGUGUUCAGCGGCAUCUAGGAAGGGGUGGUUUUCCCUGAGCUGCCCUCUGCCAGGCCUGUCAUAAACAUGGUAAAUGAGGCCUGUCUCAGUAGUGCUCCCUGGGGCCCCACCUCCUCUGCAGCCCCCUCCAGCGAUGAGCCUGUUUAUCCCUGACGGUUGUCUCCGACCCUAAAUCAAUUCCCCAUCUGAUACAAACCCUCAGUCCUCCCCAACCCUCCUCCCAGUUCCAGGCUCUGUCAGUUUGUAAAAUUGGAGGCAGUGUGUGAUGACAGGAGUGACAAGCUCAGGCUCUGAAGUCAGACUGCCUGGGUUCACAGUCCAAUGCCACUACUUAUCAGCUGGGCCACCCUGGGCAAGUGGCUUAACUUCCCUAAGCUUUAGUCUUCUCGUCUGUAAAUUGGGGAUGAUAAUUCUUCCUGUGUCAUGAGGCCGUCGUGAGGGUCAGGUGGAACAAUGCAUAUAAACCACAGCCCCUAAAAACAAGCAGAAAGCACCCAUAACUUGGUUAUAGUUUUUUGUUUGUUCAUUUUGCUUUUGUUUUUUUAUGGCCACACCCACCGUACGUGGGACUUCCCAGGCUGGGGGUUGAAUUGGAGCUGUAUCUGCAGGUCUGAGCAGGGCCAGGGAUCAAACCUGAGUCUUUAUGGAUGCUAGUUGGGUUUGUUACUGCUGAGCCACAACAGGAACUCCAUCUACCGUUUUUUUUAAAUCCAGAAACCUGUAUGUACAAGAGCUUACAAAGCCCUUUGAAAUGCUAAGGGGAGUUCUUGUGGUGGUAACGAACCCCACUAGUAUCCAUGAGGACUUGGGGCUGUGGCUGUGGCUGUGGCCAGUAGCUGCAGCUCAGAUUGGACCCCUAGCCUGGAAAUUUCCAUAUGUGUGAAGAAAGAAGGAAGGAAGGGAGGGAGAGAGCCUGUCUGAGGGAUAGUCCCUGUCCCUGUCCCUGUUGUCACCCCCUGCCCACAGUAGCUCUUCCUGCUGGCAUCACCCCGUCCCUAAUGCUGGGGAGGCAGGACACAGCCCAAGUCCAGCAGUGCACAGAAGCCCUGCUGGAUGAGGCAGAUUUGGGGAGACUAACAGGACAGGAGGCUUUCGCCUCCCAAAGCUGAGACUCCGUGUUGGAGGGGACGCUUUGCAGAUUCCCUCCUACCUCAGUCCAUCCCUGCAGUGUCUGCUCUGUCCAGGGUCACCCAGGCUGCCCCUCCUUCCGGCUGCAGGGAGAGAGGCAGCUCCAAUCAUUCAUCUUAAUGUCUCUAUUAAGCAGGGUUAUGACCAGGAUGAGACAAGAAACAAGGUCUUUUAGUGUAAAAACAUGGCUUCCAGGGCUUGGCCCCAGGGGACUCCUCCCGGGCACUGCCGCUGCUCCCAGCUACUGCUGCUGGAGGGUAGCUGCGGCUCCAGGUCAGGCAAGAUGAUUCUGCCCUGCGUUCUCUCUCUCCCCACUUCCCGGGAACCUUUUAAGGGCCUGCUCAGAGCUUUCACAUCCAGAGAGAAGAGCAUGACUUGCAUUUGAUGGCAGCCCAGGGGUCCUUGAGGCUGUCUGUGUGAGGCCCACACCCUGACUUGGGAUCACUGUCCUCAUUGGCCACCUCAUCACUCACCCGGAAUUUGCAGGCAGCAACAGGCUUCGGGCAGGGGUGGGGAGGGGGAGGCACAACUGGGCCUCCCCUGGAGUCUGGGCUCAGAGCCUAUGUUCCUGGUUAUGGGAAGAUGGAAGAGGAUCCUAACAGGACCGUUCCACAAGUGCCCCUUGCUCUGAGAAGGUGGAGGAGCCUCGUGGAGUCAGCAUAUGCUCAGACCCGGGCCUGGGCUCUAGGGAGUAGCAGUUGGCCCACAGAGCCCAUGGCUCACGGACCUGACCUGUGCCCACGUGAGGGCAAGGGCUUAUGGGCAGCAGCAGGACCAACCCCCUCCUCUGGAGAGAAGUCGGAGAAGUCGGAGGCUCCUGGAGAACCAGAAUCAAAAGGCAUCCCCCCAGAACACACUCAGAAGGCCUCAAAGGGAGCCACGUGCACAGAAACACCCUUCGGCGGUGUGGAGAGUCCCCAGAUGACUUCCCGCACGUUCGUAUUGUCACCGUAAGAACACGAGUCCUUUAGCUAACUGCAGGACAAGUAGGAUGAGAAUGUGGAGCACAAAGAGGGAAGAGACAGGUCCCCAGCGCAGUUUGCUGCCCACCGUCCCGCUAAUCCUCAGGCCACUGUGCUGCUGCCUUCCCGCUGGUCCUGGUUUCUCCCUCUGUAUCAAGACCUGUCCUGAACAUGACCUUCCCACACAGGGGCUGGAGGAGCCAUCUGGCGUCUCACUCCUCUCCAUGCGCAGGAAGAAGGCAGGGGCGUCCCCUCCGCUCCUCCCUGCAGGCCGCGGGUGAGGGGCCUUGACCAGGAGGGCUGGGAGGGCAGGGGGGCUGCAGCGCGAAUGCCAGAGCCGCUGAGGGCAGCACAAAGUCAGAGUGAGUUAGCACCAGUCCCAGGGGCUGCAUGAGCCAGGCAGGCUUUUACAGAGAUAUCCAGGGAACGAGAAAUACCAGCAAGGAAGUUGCCCCAUUAAUAAAUAAGAAGGCGGGAAAUUAAUGAUGGUCUGAAAACGGCUGAGCUGCUGAACUCGUUCUUUAAAUCUGUCUUUAACAAGAAAAAUAAAGAAAAGAGAUUUGGCCAAUUAGGAGGUAAUGAAGACAUUGUAAAAAUAGCGCUUGACAAAAAGCACACAUCGGUGGCGGGUGGUGGGGGGAAGAGGCACUGAGUGAACAUCCAAUGGCCUUGACCCUGCCCCCCCCCACUCCAGAAGAAGGCUGCCAACACAGAGGAGAACAUGGGAUCAUUACAGGGCCUGGGAACAGGUAGGGAAGGAACUAAGAUGGGGAGACUCCAAUGUGGGCUUAAUUGAUGCUUUUCAAGAGCCUAUUGUGAGCCAGGCAGGAUGUUCCACCUUCUCCAACAUCCUUUCCUGUGAAGGCUUAAAUGAAGGUGAGGAGGGGGGGGGGAUUAAAGAGGAGACAGAAUAAGGGCAGAUGAGGUGAGAGAAGGGGGCCGGAGAGGGGGAUCUCUAAGGGCAGGGGGACGCAGAAGCACCCUGUUACAACUGCACAAUGUCUAGGCACCUGACAUAUUUGGGGUGGUCCCCUUGGCAUCCUAUCCUUAUAAAUAAGAGAACAGGCGGGGAGGCACGAGAGAGCAGGAAAAAGAAAUCAGAGGAGAAACCUGGGCCCCAAAGGAGAGAGCGAGCGCGGUUCCUCUGUGAAGGAAGGAAAAUAAGUGGUGGUGUUUGGACAGGGCCGAGGGAGAGAGAGGGAGAGGAGCUGGGCCCCGCCCGCCCUCCAGCUUCAGCCCUCCGCUGAGGCCCAGGUGACCCUCCCAGGGAGCACAGCGGCAGCCUCAGAGACAGGUUGAGUGUCACUCACCGUCACUGUCAGUCACAGGUUGAGUGUAAGUGGAGGAGCUUCAGGAAAUAAGGGUGGAGUUCCCGUCAUGGCACAGUGGAAGCGAAUCCCACUAGGAACCAUGAGGUUGCGGGUCGAUCCCUGGCCUCGCUCCGUGGGUUAAGGAUCCGGCCUUGCUGUGAGCUGUGGGGUAGGUCGCAGACGAGGCUCAGAUCCCGCUGUGGCUGUGGCUGUGGUGUAGGCGGGCAGCUGUAGCUCUGAUUAGACCCCUAGCCUGGGCACCUCCAUAUGCCGCGGGUGGGGCCCUCAAAAAAAAAAAAAAAAAA